CAGUCGCCGCGGGAAUACGGAGGGUGCAAGCGUUAAUCGGAAUUACUGGGCGUAAAGCGCACGCAGGCGGUUUGUUAAGUCAGAUGUGAAAUCCCCGAGCUUAACUUGGGAACUGCAUUUGAAACUGGCAAGCUAGAGUCUUGUAGAGGGGGGUAGAAUUCCAGGUGUAGCGGUGAAAUGCGUAGAGAUCUGGAGGAAUACCGGUGGCGAAGGCGGCCCCCUGGACAAAGACUGACGCUCAGGUGCGAAAGCGUGGGGAGCAAACAGGAUUAGAGACCCCGGUAGUCCCUGUCUCUUAUAC
rnacentral:rRNA from 1 species